rnacentral:rRNA from 1 species
UACAGAGGGUGCAAGCGUUGUUCGGAAUUAUUGGGCGUAAAGGGCGUGUAGGCGGUCUUUUAAGUCUUCUGUGAAAUCUACGGGCUUAGCCUGUAACGUGCAGAGGAAACUGGAAGGCUUGAGUGUCGGAGAGGAUAGGGGAAUACCCAGUGUAGAGGUGAAAUUCGUAGAGAUUGGGUGGAACACCAGUGGCGAAGGCGACUAUCUGGCUGACAACUGACGCUGAGACUCGAAAGCAUGGGGAGCAAACAGG